GACGAACACUGGCGGCGUGCCUAAUACAUGCAAGUUGAGCGAUGAAGAUUGGUGCUUGCACCAAUUUGAAGAGCAGCGAACGGGUGAGUAACGCGUGGGGAAUCUGCCUUUGAGCGGGGGACAACAUUUGGAAACGAAUGCUAAUACCGCAUAACAACUUUAAACAUAAGUUUUAAGUUUGAAAGAUGCAAUUGCAUCACUCAAAGAUGAUCCCGCGUUGUAUUAGCUAGUUGGUGAGGUAAAGGCUCACCAAGGCGAUGAUACAUAGCCGACCUGAGAGGGUGAUCGGCCACAUUGGGACUGAGACACGGCCCAAACUCCUACGGGAGGCAGCAGUAGGGAAUCUUCGGCAAUGGACGAAAGUCUGACCGAGCAACGCCGCGUGAGUGAAGAAGGUUUUCGGAUCGUAAAACUCUGUUGGUAGAGAAGAACGUUGGUGAGAGUGGAAAGCUCAUCAAGUGACGGUAACUACCCAGAAAGGGACGGCUAACUACGUG
rnacentral:rRNA from 1 species